GAACAUCCUGGUUGACCUGGCCACCGGGCAGGCCAAAUUGAUUGACUUUGGCUGUGGCACCUACCUGCAAGAGACAGCCUACACUCACUUUGCAGGAACACCAUCAUACAGCCCCCCGGAAUGGACCCGCUUUGGCUGGUACCAUGGCGAGCCAGCUACCAUCUGGUCCCUGGGCAUCCUGCUGCAUGAGAUGGUCUGGGGGAAGAUGCCUUUCAGGAGGGGCUGGAACUUCAGCUGGGGCCAGCUCUCACUGCCACAACGGCUCUCUCCAGAGUGCCAAAAUCUGAUUGGGUGGUGUUUAUCCAUGCACCCCUUGGCCAGACCCUCAUUAGAAGAGGUGUUCUGUCAUCCUUGGAUGCAGGAUAUUCAUCUGCCCUAGAAGAAGGGAGAGAGCCACAGGCACACUGUGCUGCAGGGCCCUGGUAAGUUACAGCUGCACACAUGCCUUGGCAAUGAGAAGCAAAGAAAGCCAGCCCGUGUCACUGCACCAGGGUCAUGGGAUGGGAACAUGCAGCCCUUGUGCUGGAG